CAACUGGACAGCUUUAAACUUCCCACUCAGCAGCUCUGCCCUCUGUGAGUAUGUCUGUUGGGUCACACCUUCUGUGGCCAUGGCUUUUACCAGCUGCAGGACUUGGUUGUCAGAGACUUCACUGCUAACAACAUUUUUGAAGGAACAACUGUCACAAUGGAUCUGCAUGAAGCCAUUCAGGACAAGCAGAGAGGUAGGAAGUCCUUUUUCUUUUCUUGGUGGAACAGCAAGGCCUCUUCAGUUUUCAACUGGUUCUUCUUCUGUGCAACCAACUUUGAUGGCAGCAUCAGACUCCUCACAAAGCACAAAUCCGCAUGUUGCCUUCAAUAAAGGAAAGAUGGCAAGCGAUGAAUUGAUCCACCCGUAUGGGUAAUCUUUCAUGCUUGAAAAGGCCGUGCUUGAUAUUUUUGAAUUCUGCUUCUACGGCGGCUGAGCUUGAGGUGACAUCAGUGGUUUGGAAGAAAGGGCCCAUCACUCCUGUCCACAGUGGUAUUUCUUGCAUAUCUCUGAUGUGAGAGGGACUCCAGAGUUAUCAUUGCCUUCUGCCUCGCUGAGUGCCACAACAGUGAUGGCAUGUAUCAGGUCUUUUGCAUGCUUCAGGGAUUGUGAUUUAAUGAGUUGU